AAGUGGUCGCACAUUUUCUUGUACAAGUCAAAGUGUCGCGAGAAUGUGCAUGAAACGUUUUGAUGAAGCUAGAGUAACAUUUUGCAGAAUAAAGUGUGUGUGUGAGCAAACCCCAUCUUGUUAGAUUCACAUGUAAUGAUGAAUGAUAUCCCUUCUCACACACAACAACAAAACAGACACAGACCUGACAUGUGAAACCAGACACACCUUUCUCCAGCAGCAGAGGAAUGGAGAGUUUCCAACAUACCAGUGCUUCAUGAGAUCCUAUUCACUUCCUCGGGAUCUCCCGGGGCCACAGAGGUUGUGUGUGUGAGGCAGACAACAGUCCCAUCACAACAAAGAAGUGUAAACAGCUGGCAAACAAGAUGCUGAGUCUGCACUUUCCAGGUCAGCUAUGAUACACCACCAUCAAUGACCAGCCUCUGCCCUUCUCCUCCUUCUCCUCCCCGUCUGUCUCCUCCACAUGUCUGCCUCCUCCCCUUUCUUAAGACAUAUUAGAAUUCUGCCUUUACUUCAUCCACCCCUCCUCACAAGAAAGAAGAGAAAAAGAUGUCAAAUUUGCUGUGGGAUGUAUUUCCUCACUCUCUAAGUCGACCGUAUGUGUGUGAGGGACUGUGUGAGUGUGUGUUUGUGUGAGGGGUAGGAUUGGAGAUGCAGGGGAGAGGGGGAGUCAAACACACACAUACACACACACACACAUACACACACACACACACACAGCACACAUCAGCAUUACAAUCACACACAGCUGUUUGUCUUCUGUCUUGGGAGCCAGAGAGGGAUCAAGAGAGCGAGAGAGACGGAGAGGAAGACAGGCUUCACCACAGAUUCGUCAUCUCCUUGAGAUAUCGCUGACCCAUAAUGAAGUAUCACUGAAAUAUUCCUGUAAUGCUCAUGUAGUCAAACGGUGUAGAUCCAGUGAGGACUGGCAUUUAGUGGCAAAGUUGCUUUAUCCAUUGAAGUCACUUUAUUCAUAAAAUACAUCUCACGCACACUGGGACAUAAAAUGCAAAUAAAUAAAAACAGCCUUUGAGGAGGGACCUAAAAGUUUCGAUUGUGGAGGACGGCUGUACCACUAUCUAUAUUCCACAGCAUCAAGACCAUAACAGAACUGUUUAAACUGUUCAAGGAGGCUUGAAGGCUCAACAGCUCUAAGAUGCGAGAUAUAGGCAGCCCAUUGAGUGUAUAUUACUUACAUGUAAUGAUAUCUAUUUUAAAAAAUAUUCCAUACUAUUGCUUUUGCAAACAACUUUCUUUUAAAAUACAUUUGUCCUGUGCUUGUCAAUCACAGGGGCGG